rnacentral:rRNA from 1 species
UAAAAACCCAGAGGUUUGGCGGUGCUUUUGUACCCCCCUAGAGGAGCCUGUUCUAGAACUGAUUAACCCCCGGUUCAACCUCAGCCCUGUCUUGUUAUUCAGGCCUAUAUACCGCCAGGCGUCAGCUUACCCUGUGAAGGUCCUAAUCGUAAGCAAAGUUAGUAAUACUCAGAACGUCAGGUCGAGGUGUAGCACAUGGAGUGGAAAGAAAUGGGCUACAUUCUCUCUCGAGAGAAUACGAAUGGUGGGAUGAAACGCCCACC